ACCGAUUGGCCAGGCCAGUGAAAGGAAAAUGAAGAAAAGGCUGCAGACUACACGUUUCCGAAGAAGUUCAGUGCAGUUAUUUGACAUAAAGCACUAACUGUUUAAUACUUCAUCACAACUACAGUCCUUUCUAAAACGAUAGUGCUUUUAAGAAAAUAGGCCCUACGUAAAUGUUGACCAUAUAGUUUAAAACUACGGUGAGGAUCUGUUGAGCUCGUGCCGAGAGCCUCCAAAAGUCUGUCUAUGGUUUUCGGCCUUGUUUUGGCUGACAGUGAAACAUGACCUCUGCUGACCUCAUCUGGACACAGCCCAGCUGUCUGCACACCACCUGGACGUCCAUCAUGUCCCAGGAGUCUCCACACACUGUCCGCCAGGAGCCCCCGCGGAACACCUCCAGCCUCCCAGAGCACCCGCCUUCACCCCCCACCAGCCGGAGGGGCCAGUGACCUAGAGCAGGAGACACAGAUGAGCUGAGCAGCCUCAUUACCUUUACCAUCUCCUACAGACACAUCUCCACUAACACUAUGACUGACCUCAUUACGUUUAGCAUCUCCUACAGACACAUCUCCACUAACACUAUGACUGACCUCAUUAUGUUUAGCAUCUCCUACAGACACAUCUCCACUAACACUAUGACUGACCUCAUUACGUUUAGCAUCUCCUACAGACACAUCUCCAUUAACACUAUGACUGACCUCAUUAUGUUUAGCACCUCCCACAGACACAUCUGCCCUAAUAUUAUGGCAGACCUGACGUAAUGCUUUCUGCUUUGCCAAAGCAGAGUGGAUUUGUGGCUGUGGAUGCAGCCUGCUCAACAUUUGCGUUACGUUCAGUAGACACUCUUAUUCAGAGCGGCUUACCACAGGAUUCAACCAAAAAAACGUACUUGUGCAAGCUCCCUGAUUUGCUGCUGAGGAACAUGACAAUUUGCUUCGUGGAACUUCAUCAUCCUCUUCCCCUUUGAUGUGAAGAGAAAAAAAUAAAUAAAUGAACUACAAAUUUUGAAAAAUUUUAAAACACGAAGACAGAAACAGGUUCAUUCCAUAUCAGAAACAAACUGCACUACUUAGAGCUUCAAAAAAUCUCAUUCAUGGGGUUACACUAAAAACCUUUUAAAAAAUCACAAUCCAUAGUUUUACCAAUUUA